GUCUUCUCCCCCAACCCCCAUCUUCUUCUUCCUUGGGAUUUGUUGAAAAAAUGGGAUUGACUUGUAGAAUUUCCUUCGUUGCAGGCUUCUUCGGAGAACACCCAUAGUGAUUCACAAAGCAAAGCCAAAUCUUGGGUACUUGGCUGUGCCUCAGCUGACAUCCAGGCUUCAUCACAUCUAAGUAGCCCCAUAGGUCUCAAGGAGGAGUAGAUGAGAAUACUGAGAGCCUUCAGUUUGGGACAUACUAGCAGGAGGAGAGAUUGAGAGGAUAACACCUGGAUAUGUUCAGAGACAGAUAACCAGGCAAGAUCAACAUCCACUCAGCUCUCAUCAUGAGAAUAAAGAAAACUUGAAAUUGUUCA
rnacentral:lncRNA from 1 species